rnacentral:rRNA from 1 species
UGGGGAAUAUUGCACAAUGGGCGAAAGCCUGAUGCAGCGACGCCGCGUGAGGGAUGACGGCCUUCGGGUUGUAAACCUCUUUCAGCAGGGAAGAAGCGAAAGUGACGGUACCUGCAGAAGAAGCGCCGGCUAACUACGUGCCAGCAGCCGCGGUAAUACGUAGGGCGCAAGCGUUGUCCGGAAUUAUUGGGCGUAAAGAGCUCGUAGGCGGUUAGUCGCGUCUGCUGUGAAAACUCGAGGCUCAACCUCGGGCUUGCAGUGGGUACGGGCUGACUAGAGUGCGGUAGGGGUGACUGGAAUUCCUGGUGUAGCGGUGGAAUGCGCAGAUAUCAGGAGGAACACCGAUGGCGAAGGCAGGUCACUGGGCCGCAACUGACGCUGAGGAGCGAAAGCAUGGGGAGCGAACAGGAUUAGAUAGCCCUGGUAGUCCAUGCCGUAAACGUUGGGCACUAGGUGUGGGUCCAUUCCACGGAUUCCGUGCCGCAGCAAAGCGCAUUAGGUGCCCCGCCUGGGGAGUACGGCCGCAAGGCUAAAACUCAAAUGAAUUGACGGGGUC